GAUGAACGCUGGCGGCGUGCCUAAUACAUGCAAGUCGAGCGAACGGACGAGAAGCUUGCUUCUCUGAUGUUAGCGGCGGACGGGUGAGUAACACGUGGAUAACCUACCUAUAAGACUGGGAUAACUUCGGGAAACCGGAGCUAAUACCGGAUAAUAUUUUGAACCGCAUGGUUCAAAAGUGAAAGACGGUCUUGCUGUCACUUAUAGAUGGAUCCGCGCUGCAUUAGCUAGUUGGUAAGGUAACGGCUUACCAAGGCAACGAUGCAUAGCCGACCUGAGAGAGUGAUCGCCCACACUGGAACUGAGACACGGUCCAGACUCCUACGAGAGGCAGCAGUAGGGAAUCUUCCACGAUGGGCGAAAGCCUGACGGAGCAACGCCGCGUGAGUGAUGAAGGUCUUCGGAUCGUAAAACUCUGUUAUUAGGGAAGAACAUAUGUGUAAGAAACUGUGCACAUCUUGACGGUACCUAAUCAGAAGGCCACGGCUAAGUACGUG
rnacentral:rRNA from 1 species